GACAGAGGGUGCAAACGUUGCUCGGAAUCACUGGGCGUAAAGGGCGUGUAGGCGGGAAUGUAAGUCGGGCGUGAAAUCCCUAGGCUCAACCUAGGAACUGCACUCGAAACUGCGUUUCUUGAGUACUGGAGAGGAAAGCGGAAUACCUGGUGUAGAGGUGAAAUUCGUAGAUAUCAGGUGGAACACCAGCGGCGAAGGCGGCUCUCUGGAACGCAACUGACGCAUGAGACGGCG
rnacentral:rRNA from 1 species